UCUCUUCUCUUUUAAUGAUAAAACCCUAGGUGCCGCUUAUGGUUCAUUUUCUCUUUCAUGCCAGAAACGACAAAGGCGUAGAGAGGAGUAGUCUUAUAUCAGCCUUUGUAUGUUCGUUUGAGGUAGCAUUAAUUGCUACCUAUCCUUUCCCUGUUCGUUUUCUCCAAAUGCCACCUAAAGAGAUUUGGAAGCACUCAAGGCUUCAAAUCCAAUCUUGUUCACGGCUGCACUUUAAAAAGAGUAUCAGGUCGGAUCCACUUCCGUAACGCGUGGCUGAUCGACGCUUCAGCUUUUUCUUGAGUUUCCAGGGUGAUCAUAGCCGUCCGCUACCUUGAAGACUUUCUAUCUUUAUGUCUUAUUCUUUUCAGAGACAUAGACACUUUAUGUAUUAGUAUUCCGGAUUAUAUUAUUUCUCUUUAGAUGCUUUUGUGUUAUUCAGACUAGACC